ACAGUUGUUGCCCUGAAGCCUCAGCUCUCUGACAGAUUCAAGAAAAGUCAUGACUGUGCAGAUCGCUGGUUUUCUCGCUGUGAGGGGGCCUGCUCAUUUCACUCUGUCGGGGGGCUUCCGGACCAGCCACCGGACCUCGGCGCCGUGGUGGUGCCUGGCGUGUGGCUGGACCACAGCUUGCCCGAUGCCUCCCUGCUGACGGACAUCCAGGCUGAUUCCAAUUUGGGGAAAAGAGGAAUGAAAUCAUUCUGAACACGUCACAAGUGCUUGCAUAAAGUUCUGUCUUCACUUGGGAUAAACACCCAUGAGUGCAGCUGCUGGGUCACGUGGUAGCUGCACGUUUAGUUUUUAAAGAAACAACCAAAAUGUUUUCCUGAGGGGCUGCACCGUCUGAUGUUCCCAUAUCCCAGCAUUUCUCAUUUUGACACCUGGUAGAGAGGAUGCUGCGGAGCCCCUGACUGUGUCUGAGCCCGAGUGCACCUCAGAUCCCACUGCAGGAGUUGGAGCCAGGAGGGAGCUGGCACGGUGCCCCUGGGUCCUGGGCGCCCACAUCAGCAGGCCGGCCACCAUCCCCUGCUGGGGCAACAGGCUGGAUGGAGCACAGAUCAUUUCAGAGCUGCAGGUGCAGCUUCAAAGGUAGAAUCUUCUGGAAGAAGACUAUUCAGGUGUCCUGGCCUUGGGCAGUCGCACUGACAGGUCUCAUGGCCAGAAUUUUGCAGACUGUUCGUGGACAUGCUUUUUGCUGGCGCCCACCGGUGACCCCCAGAAGGACCAGUGAAGCAGAGGCUUGGCUAAUGAGGAAGUUACAGAGCAGGGGGCCACUGGGCUCAGAGCUCCACAAAGGGCCCCCAAGGAGGAUACGAGGGAGACAGCACAGCAGGGACAGAGCGUGCCAGGGUGGGUUGGACCCUGUGUCCAGCUCUGAUCCAGGGUCCCGGCGGCACACACCCUGGCCACCAUUGCACCGGGGCUGAAGGUAGAGGGGCAGAGCCUGGUGGGGAAGGGGCUACGCCCCCGCCCUCUCUGUGGUCGGGCUCCUGGCAGCUCCGAAGUGCGCUCUGAGGAGCCAGAAGCCAGGGAAGGACCUCUGAGUCUUGGGGUGCUCGCAGGCUUGGGGGACCCAGGGAGCUCCGCCCUUAAGUCUGGGACAGCGCAAAGAGCACGAGGCACAGUCGGCGGGAGCGGGAGGGGGUGGCCCCCCCACCCCACCCCACCCCCGCCACCCGUCGGACCACCCAGCGCGUGGCUCCCUCCUCCCCCGCGCCGGUCAGG
rnacentral:lncRNA from 1 species